rnacentral:rRNA from 1 species
GAUGAACGCUGGCGGCGUGCCUAAUACAUGCAAGUCGAGCGAACAGAUAAGGAGCUUGCUCCUUUGACGUUAGCGGCGGACGGGCGAGUAACACGUGGAUAACCUACCUAUAAGACUGGGAUAACUUCGGGAAACCGGAGCUAAUACCGGAUAACAUAUUGAACCGCAUGGUUCAAUAGUGAAAGGCGGCUUUGCUGUCACUUAUAGAUGGAUCCGCGCCGUAUUAGCUAGUUGGUAAGGUAACGGCUUACCAAGGCAACGAUACGUAGCCGACCUGAGAGGGUGAUCGGCCACACUGGAACUGAGACACGGUCCAGACUCCUACGGGAGGCAGCAGUAGGGAAUCUUCCGCAAUGGGCGAAAGCCUGACGGAGCAACGCCGCGUGAGUGAUGAAGGUCUUCGGAUCGUAAAACUCUGUUAUCAGGGAAGAACAAAUGUGUAAGUAACUGUGCACAUCUUGACGGUACCUGAUCAGAAAGCCACGGCUAACUACGUG